rnacentral:rRNA from 1 species
CCUUUGACGUUAGCGGCGGACGGGUGAGUAACACGUGGGUAACCUACCUAUAAGACUGGGAUAACUUCGGGAAACCGGAGCUAAUACCGGAUAAUAUUUCGAACCGCAUGGUUCGAUAGUGAAAGAUGGUUUUGCUAUCACUUAUAGAUGUACCCGCGCCGUAUUAGCUAGUUGGUAAGGUAACGGCUUACCAAGGCGACGAUACGUAGCCGACCUGAGAGGGUGAUCGGCCACACUGGAACUGAGACACGGUCCAGACUCCUACGGGAGGCAGCAGCC